UAACUUUCAGCAACGGAUCUCUUGGCUCUCGCAUCGAUGAAGAACACGGCGAAAUGUGAUAAGUAAUGUGAAUUGCAGAAUUCAGUGAAUCAUCGAAUCUUUGAACGCACCUUGCGCUCCUUGGUAUUCUGAGGAGCAUGCCUGUUUGAGUGUCAUG
rnacentral:rRNA from 1 species